rnacentral:rRNA from 1 species
AUGCUUGACCUCAAAUCAGGUAGGACUACCCGCUGAACUUAAGCAUAUCAAUAAGCGGAGGAAAAGAAACUAACAAGGAUUCCCCUAGUAACUGCGAGUGAAGCGGGAAAAGCUCAAAUUUAAAAUCUGGCGGUCUUUGGCCGUCCGAGUUGUAAUCUAGAGAAGUAAUGCCCGUGCUGGACCGUGUAUAAGUCUCCUGGGAUGGGGCGUCAUAGAGGGUGAGAAUCCCGUCUUUGACACGGACUACCAGUGCAUUGUGGUAUGCUCUCAAAGAGUCGAGUUGUUUGGGAAUGCAGCUCAAAAUGGGUGGUAAAUUCCAUCUAAAGCUAAAUAUUGGCGAGAGACCGAUAGCGAACAAGUACCGUGAGGGAAAGAUGAAAAGAACUUUGGAAAGAGAGUUAAACAGUACGUGAAAUUGCUGAAAGGGAAACGCUUGAAGUCAGUCGCGUUGGCCAGGGAUCAGCCUUGCUUUUGCAUGGUGUACUUUCUGGUUGACGGGUCAGCAUCAAUUUUGACCGCUGGAAAAGGGCCUGGGGAAUGUGGCAGCUUCGGCUGUGUUAUAGCCCCUGGUCGCAUACAGUGGUUGGGAUUGAGGAACUCAGCACGCCGCAAGGGCGGGUUUCGACCACGUUCGUGCUUAGGAUGCUGGCAUAAUGGC